CCUACGGGUGGCAGCAGUGAGGAAGAUUGGUCAAUGGGCGCGAGCCUGAACCAGCCAAGUAGCGUGAAGGAUGACUGCCCUACGGGUUGUAAACUUCUUUUAUAAAGGAAUAAAGUGAGGCACGUGGGCCGUUUUGUAUGUACUUUAUGAAUAAGGAUCGGCUAACUCCGUGCCAGCAGCCGCGGUAAUACGGAGGAUCCGAGCGUUAUCCGGAUUUAGUGGGGUUAACGGGAGCGUAGUUGGGUUGUUAAGUCAGUUGUGAAAGUUUGCGGCGCAACCGUAAAAUUGCCAUUGAUACUGGCAGUCUUGCGUACAGUUGAGGUCGGCGGCUUUCGUGUUGUAGCGG
rnacentral:rRNA from 1 species